rnacentral:rRNA from 1 species
UACGAAGGGGGCUAGCGUUGUUCGGAUUUACUGGGCGUAAAGCGCACGUAGGCGGAUCGUUAAGUCGGGGGGUGAAAUCCUGGAGCUCAACUCCAGAACUGCCUUCGAUACUGGCGAUCUUGAGUCCGGAAGAGGUGAGUGGAACUCCUAGUGUAGAGGUGGAAUUCGUAGAUAUUAGGAAGAACACCAGUGGCGAAGGCGGCUCACUGGUCCGGUACUGACGCUGAGGUGCGAAAGCGUGGGGAGCGAACCGG